rnacentral:lncRNA from 1 species
ACCAAGGACCUCAAAUCUGAAGACCCUAGGUCUCUAUCACUUAUGGUUUACCAGUUGGAAAUGGAUAUCACUUAAUUAAAUGGAAAAGGGGGAAUAACUCUCAUAUGGAGUCUCCGUAAAGCUUCGGUCCAAAUGAAUAACCUAAUCCUGAAGAUGUAAGGAGCAAUUUGGUAAAAUAAAUUUGUCGCAAUCUUUAACGGUUGCAAAGGAGUAGUGGCCAGAA